rfam:Drosophila virilis strain TSC#15010-1051.87 Ctg01_16063, whole genome shotgun sequence.
AAGUAGCGACGACUAAUGGAUACUGCCUAAAAUAGGCAACCCAUCCCCGCGAAGUAAUACUUUGCGGUGAUCCCGCGGGGAAUGUGGUGUGUGAGUGGGGUGUGAGUUUAGUACGUAGGUGCUGACGGAGUCAGCAAAUCGUGCAUACGGUUGGCCCGGGCCUUCAGUAUCUUACGAUGAUUUUCACCUCCGUGC